GUCUAUGGCCAUGCCACCCUGAACAAGCCCGAUGUCUGAUCUUAAAAGCUAAGCAGGGCUGGGCCUGGUUAGUACUUAGAUGGGAGACUACCUAGGAAGACCAGGUGCUGUAGGCA
rnacentral:rRNA from 1 species